CUGCGAGUUCGCGGGAGAGUAGGUUAUUGCCAGGGUUUUUAUUUUUAUACUUUAAACAUUGAUUUUAUUUUUAUGUUUUUAGAUGUUUAUAUUAUUUGAAUGUUUUAUUCAAAUAAUAUAAAAAAUAAAAUAUAUAUAUUGACAUGGAUUAAACAAAGAUAUAUAUUAUUCUAUGUUGUAUAAACAAAUUGGCAGAAUAGAGAUGGAAGAUAAAAAUAUGGUCAAAGAAAUAAGAGUCUAUGGUGAAUGCCUAGGA
rnacentral:misc_RNA from 1 species